AAGCGUGGACUGCCCGGCUCUGGCUACUGCGCAUGCCCCGAGGCAGGAUGGGAGGUGGCAACUGCCCGGCGGAGCAGGGUGAAGUUGUAGGUUUCGGAUUGUUGCAAGUAAACGCUUCAGUAACUUACAAUGAUGCCUGCAGAAUAAAUAAGCAGUCCAAAGAGAACAUUGAGGAGAAAUGGGGAAGUACUGGUGACCUGGCAUGGGGCAGAAGGAGAAUGGAAAGAUGGGGCCAACCAACCUUGCUGGCCUGCAGAGAAGAUCCCAGUCAGCCCCUACAUGUGUGUUAAACUAGAAGCCUGACCAUCAGACUGAAGAUUUUAAGAUACACAAAUAGGCCUAUAUCAUGGAAAGUCUGAGAUGGGCAUGUCAGCCUGCUGAUUCUGUGCUGUGCCUUGAGGGGGAUGGCCACCGUGAGUCCUAUGAGCCCAUUGUUUCUUAUACUUUGUGGGUCUUGUGGAUGCAAGCCCUGGUGGCCGUUAGUGCUAGGUGUUUGGGGGCCUGUAUCUUGGGUGGAAGUUUAAAAGUUGGGGUGCUAGGUUUUGAGUUCAAACCCUUCCCUCUUCAGGGAGAAGCUGGGAGUUGUUCCUCCUGAAUGUAUGUCAUCGUGCUAGGGGGUGGGGUUUGUGCUGAGACUGUGUUUCAGCCCCUCCUACCUAUUUCAAUGUGGGUGGUUUUCUCAUUUGCUCAAUGAGUAGGAAUUGCUCAGCUGGAUGUCUUUCAGAGGAAAUUCUUCUCAUUUGCAGCUAUAAAUUCAGUCUGUCCAUGGGAGAAGGGGAGUUCAGAAGUCUCCUAUAUGACCAUUUUUAACCAGAAUAAUUUUUUAAGGAAACUGCAUAUUUUGUCCUCCGUAGUGGCUGUCCCAAUUUACAUUCCCCCAAGUA